rnacentral:rRNA from 1 species
AACGAACGCUGGCGGCAUGCCUAACACAUGCAAGUCGAACGAGACCUUCGGGUCUAGUGGCGCACGGGUGCGUAACGCGUGGGAACCUGCCCUUAGGUUCGGAAUAACUCCCCGAAAGGGGUGCUAAUACCGGAUAAUGUCUUCGGACCAAAGAUUUAUCGCCUUUGGAUGGGCCCGCGUUAGAUUAGCUAGUUGGUAGGGUAAAAGCCUACCAAGGCGACGAUCCAUAGCUGGUCUGAGAGGAUGAUCAGCCACACUGGGAAUGAGACACGGCCCAGACUCCUACGGGAGGCAGCAGUGGGGAAUAUUGAACAAGGGGCGAAAGCCUGAUCAAGCAAUGCCGGGUGAGUGAUGAAGGCCUUAGGGUUGUAAAGCUCUUUUACCCGGGGUGAUAAUGACAGUACCGGGAGAAUAAGCGCCGGCUAACUACGUG